CUUCCGUAGGGUGAACCUGCGGAGGGAUCAUUACCGAGUUUACAACUCCCAAACCCCUGUGAACAUACCUAUACGUUGCCUCGGCGGAUCAGCCCGCGCCCCGUAAAAAGGGACGGCCCGCCCGAGGACCCCUAAACUCUGUUUUUAGUGGAACUUCUGAGUAAAACAAACAAAUAAAUCAAAACUUUCAACAACGGAUCUCUUGGUUCUGGCAUCGAUGAAGAACGCAGCAAAAUGCGAUAAGUAAUGUGAAUUGCAGAAUUCAGUGAAUCAUCGAAUCUUUGAACGCACAUUGCGCCCGCCAGUAUUCUGGCGGGCAUGCCUGUUCGAGCGUCAUUUCAACCCUCAAGCUCAGCUUGGUGUUGGGACUCGCGGUAACCCGCGUUCCCCAAAUCGAUUGGCGGUCACGUCGAGCUUCCAUAGCGUAGUAAUCAUACACCUCGUUACUGGUAAUCGUCGCGGCCACGCCGUAAAACCCCAACUUCUGAAUGUUGACCUCGGAUCAGGUAGGAAUACCCGCUGAACUUAAGCAUAUCAAUAAGGCGGAGGAA
rnacentral:rRNA from 1 species